AGCUGCAGAAGAAGCACCGGCUAACUCCGUGCCAGCAGCCGCGGUAAUACGGAGGGUGCGAGCGUUAAUCGGAAUUACUGGGCGUAAAGCGCAUGCAGGUGGUUUGUUUAAGUACAGAUGUGAAAGACCCGGGGCGUCAACCUCGGAAUAGCAUUUGUAAACUAGGCAGACUAGAGUACUGUAGAGGGGGGUAGGAAUUUCAGGUGUAGCGGUGAAAUGCGUAGAGAUCUGAAGGAAUACCGGUGGCGAAGGCGGCCCCCUCGGACAGAUACUGACACUCAGAUGCGAAAGCGUGGGGAGCAAACAGGAUUAGAUACCCUGGUAG
rnacentral:rRNA from 1 species